UACGUAGGGGGCAAGCGUUGUCCGGAUUUAUUGGGCGUAAAGAGCGUGUAGGCGGCCACGCAGGUCCGUUGUGAAAACUGGAGGCUCAACCUCCAGACGUCGACGGAAACCGUAUGGCUAGAGUCCGGAAGAGGAGAGUGGAAUUCCUGGUGUAGCGGUGAAAUGCGCAGAUAUCAGGAAGAACACCAAUGGCGAAGGCAGCUCGCUGGAACGUAACUGACGCUGAGACGCGAAAGCGUGGGGAGCAAACAGG
rnacentral:rRNA from 1 species